CAAAAUGACCUUUAUUACAUUUUCUGAUGCAUAUUGAUGUCCUUAUGCUGUGUAGAAAAUGUUCCAGAUUCAAUUUAUCAAAUUACAGCUAUCUGAGGAGAUACACCAUAUUAUUUGAAAAUACCACGAGAUCACUGUUAGCAUAACUUUUUGAAUUAAUCAGGGCAAGAUAGAGGUAGCAAUUAAUACACUCCUUCUGUCAAUGUCAAUGGAGUGUGUCAUUGCCUUUCUUUUGAUUCAUUGCAUCAGUAAUAUCAUUUAUGGCUACUAUAAUUGUGUGGUAUACUAAAUAGCUAUAAAAUAGCUAUAGUAGAGUUUAUGACCCUUAUGAUACUGCACUAUAAUGUACAUACCUAGUGUUGGUGAGAAAAGGAUUCAGUUUUUUAAGAAUAACAUUAGUAGCUUUAUACAUCAGUGUACAUACAGUUAUAUAGCUGAGUUGUUCUCCUCAGCUGUUACAUUCAUAAGUCAUAUUGUCUUUAUACCAAACCAUUACUACUUGUAUUGUAUUAUGAUAUUUAAUUUAAUGCAUUCAACAUUUUCAUUAUUUGUACAAAUGGUUCGAGGAGUUUUGUUUGAGUUUUAAUAACAAAAAUUAUGAACCAAUUUGAUUGGCAUGUUGGUAUGAUUUAGAUAGAAUCUUGUGGCUGAAUGUUCUAAGACUAUUUUAAAAGAUAUGCAUUUAAAGAUAUACUUCUACAUCUUUUGAUUGGGACAAGAUAAGAAAGAAAGGAAAGAAAGAAAAGAAAGGCUUAAAGUUAGAUCCAAGGAUAUUUAAAAACUGAACCUGAGGAAAGUGUAGAUGAAGUGAAGAAUAAGAGCAAACCAUUAUCUGAGGAAAUGAAAGACUACACAGUUCAGUAUCUGAGGAGGUGAAGGACCUAUGCAGUUCAAUGGAUCAGUUGUUAUCUAUUGUUAACAGUAUAAAGAAUGAAAGACAAGGAGGAGGAGGAGGAGAAGUAAGAGGACCAGAGAACUAGUGUUUGAGAAGGAGGAAGGAGGAGUUGAACUUUAACUUAUAGAUUUUAUUGUGUGGUAUUUAGAGAAUGCUAAACUCUUUAUUUAUUUUCUUUUUUUAGUAUUUUUAGUAUCUAGUUAUAUGCUUCUUAUUACUAAUAGUUUUUAUUUUGAGUGUCCCUUUA
rnacentral:lncRNA from 1 species